rnacentral:snRNA from 1 species
GGAUGAGAGGGCAAUUGGCUGCCAUAUUUGUCACCCCAUUGAUUUCCAGUGUUGAUUCAGCUGAUCUGGCUGGCUAGGUGAGUGUCCCCUUCCUCCCUCACCAUUCCAUGUGCAUCCCUAUCAAAGCCAUGCAUUCAGCCAAAGAGGACAUCCAUGCCCAAUGGAGGAGGACUGUUCUUCAGUCAAUGGUAUAUGAGUAGCUAUUAUCCUCUGCUAGAAAAUCCAAACAAGCUCUCAGGAAUCAAACAGAAACUGAGAAACUAAAAGUUCCUAAGUCAAAUAAAAAUUAGUGUUGAAAACCAC